rnacentral:lncRNA from 1 species
AGCUAUUAGUAUUACGUAGCUGGUCGGAUGGCCCCCUCUCGUGAUUCGUGCCAGCAAAAAAAACCCUUCUUAAACCCACAGCCUCAGUAGCCCUGGAGCACUCCAUUUACUGUUAGAAACUGUUUCACUGUUUCUCCAAGCUUUACCGGAGGGAAGUUAAAGUCUGUUGAAUAUAAGUUUCUCUCUCUAAAAGUCAAUUAGCCUAGGGUUACAAAAUGCCCACUUUAACUCCAAUCCAGUCCCAGGACCCUAGCAUAGCCUCCUCAACAACCAAGGAUUCUUCACAGGCGAAGAUGGUUUCUGCUCAUUCAAGGUAAAAGCUGAUUUUACUUUUUUUGUCUAUUGGGUUGGUUGUGGCUGCUCACUAAUUUUUCUUAAACCCUUAACCCUGUCUUUGUGAGGUUUUUGUUGAUGUAAAAACACUUGCAUGUUGGUAUAUUUGACUUCUGUUGCAAAUUUUAUUUUAAAGAUGUGAUUUUUAGAAAAGUUAUCUUUAAAUUGUACAGUUUGUCAUGUCACGUGGGAUUAAUUAGGGUUGUUUAUUUUGUAAUGACCUUGGUUCUGGCUUUUAUUUGAAAUAGUGAUUAAAAAUAUUCUGAUAAAUGAUAAUGGGAGUUUGCAAGAUUGAAGUUAAAAAUGACAAGUGUUUCAGAACAAUGGUUAUUAAAGUAUUUAUGUUUUUAAACCAUAGAAUUAUUGCAAUCUUAAAGAUGAGGAUGUGACAGAGAUGUUUCCUCAUCUAUUAUAAGGACAUUUACUACUUUAGUAAGCUUGGUGGAAUGCAAGCAAGUUAUACCCUCAAAUGUAGUAUUUAUGAUUGUAAAGAGUGCCUACAUUUUACCUAGAUUGUCAUAGUUAUAGCAACAAAGGAGAUUCUAUGAGAGAUGAUCUAGAGAAGUUUCUUAAGGAGGAGUAAUAAGGUGAGUUCGGGCAUCAUUAGUGGAAGAAGAUGUUUGCAGUGAUUGAUUGUAAAGGAGUGUUUAUUGGUAAAGAGGUAAAGAGGUAAAAAGUUAACAUGCUGUGUUGGGAGAUGGCUAUGGAUUAUGGAGGAAUACGUUAAAAAGGUGGAGCUCAUUGAAGCUAGUGACUGAUAAGAAAUAUGGCGCAACCAUGAUGAGUUUAUGGAAGAGUUUCUUUCGGGGCUGGUCCUUGAAGCAUGUCACUAUGGUGGUGGACAGUGGGCAAAGGCAUUCUGCAGAAUGAUUUAUUUGGGAUUAAACCCCUUAAAGAAGAAUUGCCUGAUUCAUGCUGCUUCUCUGGCGUUAAUUGCAACGAUUCUCAGACAUGCGUUUACCAUCAUUUGGCAACCAUGACUUGUGGAAGUUCAGUUAUCAAUGGUCACUUCGGUCUUUAUAUACUAAUGAAUCCAUUGAAUUCCUUAAACAUUUGAUCUUUGCCUUAAGUUGACUUAGUAAUGUACUUGUGUAAUAGAAAUUGCCACAUUGAAGCCUAUGACGUAUAUAUCAUGAACCUGAAUAAAGUUUCUAGAGGUAUCAGCAGUGCUUCAAAUAGCCCACCUUGUUCACAUGUUUUAGGAUCCAUUUCUCAUUCUUAUGAGUAACUCUCUUUUUUCCCUCUGUUGAUAAAAACAUACUAUAGAGGAGUACUAAUCUGUAAUAUCCAACUGUCAUUUAUUGGAGUCACUUACUGUUGAGAAGAUGUUUUGAGCCCAUUUGGCUCUUGAUUGCUUCAUUUAACAGUUUACACGGAAAACUGAAAAGCCUUAGGUCCCUUGUGGAGAAUUAAUUGAUAUGUAUUUAAGCUUUUCACAUUUUGAUUGCUGCCUUUUAGUGAAGCGGUCUCUGCCUUAAGUACUGCACCUCACACUUGCUUUCUUCUGCAAUGCCAGGUCCAGAAUUAGGCGCGAUGCUUCAAAGAUUUUGCAUUGUUCAAAACUUGCAGAUUAUCAGUAAAAAUCUGUCUUCUCCAGCUUUACUGGAACAUGUAAACUGCUAAGCCUAUGAGGAGUAGUAGGGAAUGAAGCCGCCGGUCCGCAGAUCAAGUCUGUGUUCAAUGAUUGUAUUAUAUUGAUCUUUCCUGAUAUGGGAUUAGCAUAUCCUGUAGUUUUAAUUGUUUUUUUUAGCUGCAAAUUUUACCCAAUAGUUUCAUCUGAUUCUUGUAUCUAAACUAGUCAUAUUCUAGUAUGAUGAUGAUGAUCAAGUGUUGAUGCUCAAUUUUCAUUACAGCUUCUAUAAUUGCUGCAAGUAAAAAUGAAGUAUUAA